UACAACCCAGGUAUAAACAUAUUGUAAUAUACAACUCAGGUAUAAACAUAUUGUAAUAUACAACUCAGGUAUAUAUUGUAAUGUACAACCCAGGUAUAUAUUGUAAUGUACAACCCAGGUAUAUAUUGUAAUGUACAACCCAGGUAUAUAUUGUAAUGUACAACCCAGGUAUAUAUUGUAAUGUACAACCCAGGUAUAUAUUGUAAUAUACAACCCAGGUAUAUAUUGUAAUGUACAACCCAGGUAUAUAUUGUAAUGUACAACCCAGGUAUAUAUUGUAAUGUACAACCCAGGUAUAUAUUGUAAUAUACAACCCAGGUAUAUAUUGUAAUAUACAACCCAGGUAUAUAUUGUAAUGUACAACCCAGGUAUAUAUUGUAAUGUACAACCCAGGUAUAUAUUGUAAUGUACAACCCAGGUAUAUAUUGUAAUGUACAACCCAGGUAUAUAUUGUAAUAUACAACCCAGGUAUAUAUUGUAAUGUACAACCCAGGUAUAUAUUGUAAUGUACAACCCAGGUAUAUAUUGUAAUAUACAACCCAGGUAUAUAUUGUAAUAUACAACCCAGGUAUAUAUUGUAAUGUACAACCCAGGUAUAUAUUGUAAUGUACAACCCAGGUAUAUAUUGUAAUGUACAACCCAGGUAUAUAUUGUAAUGUACAACCCAAGUAUUUCAGCAGUGCAUUGUACAGCACAGUGUAAUUCUGAAUGGAAGCACUUCCAGUGACUCUCCACGUUGUCCAAUUGAAGCACCCUGGCUGAUGGAGAAUGAUGAUGUAGUAUUUACAGACACAUACAUAUAGUAUUUGAUUUUAAAUUCCAACAUAAAUUGAUGACAAUUGAUACAUUUAUGUACAUUCAUUUUACAGUGUUCAGCAGUUGAAACUAUAUAGGUAAGCUAAGCACUACUCCAUUUUGGUUCAGCAGUUAUGAAACUAUGUAGGUAAACUAAGCACUACUCCAUUUUGGUUCAGCAGUUAUGAAACUAUAUAGGUAAGCUAAGCACUACUCCAUUUUGGUUCAGUAGUUAUGAAACUAUAUAGGUAAGCUAAGCACUACUCCAUUUUGGUUCAGCAGUUAUGAAACUAUAUAGGUAAGCUAAGUUUGUAGUACUCAGUCAAUUGAAAAUGUGCUUAGAGUUUUGACCACGUGACAUUUUGAUGAUCUGUUUAGAGUCUAAGAGUUGUGAAAAUGUACCACAUACCAAAGUGAAACAAAUUGCACCAAAGUGAAGAAAAUUAAGACUGUAAAUCGUCUUUUCAAAUGUUUUAUGACUUUUAAUGGAAGAAUUGUUAUCAAUACUGAAACAAUACAAAAUGUAAUGCUACAUCUCGUGUGUUAAUAAAGUUGCGACAUUUGAAGCA